GUCAGUUCAUGAGGAGAGCUGGCACAGCACUGCAGCGUUAGCGGAUCACUGGACGGCUUCAACCUCGCAGACAAGAUGAGAAAUACUGAAUAUAGCCAACUGGACACAACAGCAACCCGGAGAUGACCCCGCCCCACUUGUCGUCUGCCACCAGCAGUAUCGGCAUGUCCUGGCUUCAAGAGGAAACCCGACAAGGGUGGACGAUAAAGAGUCACAGAACAUCAGAGACUGCGUGUUCCCUGUUUGUAUGCUUACGUUUGCAGGGAGCGUCGGGAAGAGUUGGUGAGAAGGUUGGAAGGACAGGAAUGUCAAGAGAAAAAUGACAGCAAAUGGCGGUAAAUGCUUACGUACUGUGGUUAUGCUGCACAUACUUCCUGUCCAACUAAAGCUUGCAUGGUCUGAGUAUACGCUUUCUUCCCCUCUUUUUCCUUUUUAAGUCAACAGCACUCAGCAAAGACAUACCAAGCAGACACAAGUCAAACAGCAGAGACGUUCCGGACUAAACAUUCCACACGGGGCCUUUUUUUGUCAACACUUAUUGCACAAACACAGCAGCACACGUCCUGCGAUAUUAGUUCUUUGAUUUACAGUUUAUUCCACACGGCAGUCAAGUAACAAAAAGUGCUCUGACGUUGAAUGUCAGCCAGCUGUUUUUGCACUAACAACCUCACAGAAGAUGUUGACGCAAGAGAAAAGAAUGCAUGUUUGAACUAUUGACUGACUUGAUGAAACGUUCUUUUCUGUCAUUCAACAUCCAAGCUUGUUUUUGCACCAAGCCUGAAUACACAAAACAUUUAGGAAAAAUAUACAGAAAAACAGGCCACACGGUGGUCUAGUGGUCAUGUUGGCCAACACAGGAACAGCCUGGAGAUCGGGAAGACCUGGGUUCGAUUCUCCCCUGGGCAUUUCUGUGUGGAGUUUGCAUGUUCUCCCCGUGCGUGUGUGGGUUUUCUCCGGGCACUCCGGCUUCCUCCCACAUUCCAAAAACAUGCAUGUUAGGUUAAUUGGCGACUCUAAAUUGUCCAUAGGUAUGAAUGUGAGUGUGAAUGGUUGUUUGUCUAUAUGUGCCCUGCCAUUGGCUGGCCACCAGUCCAGGGUGUACCCCGCCUGUCACCCGAAGUCAGCUGGGAUAGGCUCCAGCAUGCCCCCACGACCCUAAUGAGGAUGAAGCGGCAUAGAAAAUGGAUGGAUGGAUGGAUGGAUACAGAAAAACGUCAAGAUGAGCCUUUUAUAUCCAUUUUACGUAGUAGAUUUUUAUCUUCCACUGGAAUAGGAAGAAAGGAAUUUCAUUUGAUGGGACAUGUUGGAAAAUGGUAAAAAUCACAUUUCUUUUCAGAAAAACCUUUUAAUAUUACUAGAUGAAAGGCGUCAUUUUAAUAGAUUCUUUUGUGUGACAUUGCACUUUAUUCUCUCAAAUAUCUAAUGACAACAUUUUCGAUUAUGCUGGGGUUUUUUUUGUAAAUGAGAAAUGUUUCCCGAAAAAAAUGUGUUUUCAUUCAUUCUGACUUUUCCUUGUAAUAUUUUUGACCUUUUUGGCAAUAGCAUGACUUUUUGUCUGAAUUUUUUUUAUUACAUCAUAUUUCUAAAAUGUUGUGUGUCAUAAAAUUAUGCUAUUUUGUAAUAUGAAUUUUGUCAAAUUACAGAAUUUUUUUUGUGAUGUGACAUUUUUGUCUUAAAAUUAUAAUAUUGUAACUUUUUUUUUUUCUUAAAAUUGCAUUUAAAAAAUCUCCCUUAGAAUAAAAGCGCAACCCACUGAAAACAGGCCACGCCCCAAACCCACCAGUUGAGAAUCACUGAUACAGAGCAGGGUCACCAAGCUGUCGAUCGCGAGCUACUAAAAAAAAGUAUUACAUCAGUACCCUGAAUGACCAACAGGCGCGCAUUUGGACCACUGAACACCCCCGUACGCCUUGCCGCUCUCCAGGCACGCAACCCGCAAGCUCCAGCCAGGAGCCCAGUCCUCAAAACUCGACCCGAGGUACCUUGAGCGCACACGCGUACGACUCGCCUCGCAGCGCUCACAGGUUGAGCGUCAAGGAGAGAGAGAGUGACAGAGCACACCGACGUGCCUGCUCACACAACAGCAAUUACUGCAUGUUAACGCGGCUCAAAAUGAAGGCACAAAUGUUACUCCAUAGACGUGCACCUCCAAAAAACCCUGCUCAUUAAGACUGACUUGUAACGCAGCCCCUCAACCACCAUCGCUGCCCACGCCACUGAGCCAACAAGCUCAAAAGAGUUGUAGUUUGAUCAUAGAGCCCACGCCACUAGCCUGACCCCGACCGAGAGCCACAAAAGUAGGGAUGACCAAAGUGCGGCCCGUGGGCCAUUUGUGGACUGUGGCUAAUUUGCCAUUGCAUCACCGCAGAAACAAAAUAAAGUUGGAAUAACAGCAAAAAUGGUAAAAAUAGAGCAAAAGGCGCAAUGAGGAAAAUCUGAAAUGUUGAUGCUAACGACCAAUAAUAACACCAAGCUUUGUAUUGAAAUACAUCACUUAUUAAUGUACUUUAAAAACCUUUCUACAAACUCAAACAAUACAUAUAUGUUUUAUAUGUAUAUACAAUUCAUACAAUAUAUUGCAAUAUAUUGUAGAUUUUUUUUUCUGGGGGGGGGGGGGAGUAGAUCUUGCGCAGGUUCACGACCGAGAUCAGAGAUGCUGGGCUCAAAAAGGUUGGUGAGCACUGAUUAGAUACAGCAUUCCUGUCAUAUAGAGGAUCUUUGAUGAGCGUUUUUGUCAUAUGUCUUUAAACACAGCAGAGUGCGCCUGUCAUAUCGAGGAUCUUUGAAGAGCAGUUUUGUGGUAUGUCCCUAAAAACAGCAGAGUGCUCCUGUCGUAAAGAGGACCUUUGGUAAGUUUUUUUUUUGUGGCAUGUCUUUAAACACAGCAGAGCACUACUGUCAUAUUGAGGAUCUUUGAUGAGCGUUUUUUUUUUUUGCAGUGUGUCUUUAAAAAAAAAACACAGCGCUCCUGUCAUAUAGAGGAUCUUUGACUAGCUUUUUUUGUGAUAUGUCUUUCAACACAGCAGAGUGCGCCUGUCAUAUAGAGGAUCUUUGAAGAGCCUUUUUGUGGUAUGUCCUUAAAAACAGCAAAGCGCUCCUGUCGUAUAGAAGAUCUUUGAUGAUUUUUUUUUUUUUUGGUGGCAUGUCUUUAAACACAGCAGAGUGCUCCUAAAAUAUAGAGGAUCUUUGAUGAGCGUUUUUAGUGUGUUGCUGCUGUUGCCCUUGUCUCUGUCUUUUUUGUCCCCCUCUUAUCCCCACACCCCCCCCCCGUCUUCUCUUCUCUUCUUCUCUGUCCCCCUCCUGCUCCGGUCUGGCCGCUAAUAACAUAAGAACAAAGCAUCCAAGCCAGAUAAAUUCUGUAUAACAAGGGAAGUGUAUCUCACACUUUUCCCUGGCAGAGUAAAUCUGUUGCGCACGUGAGGGCAUUUAGAUCUACAAUUCUAUCUGCCUUAAAGGCUGGACAGGACAGGGGAAAAAAACAAAAAAACCCCAGAGCACUCCUGUCAUAUAGACCAGUGGUCCCCAACCUUUUUUGAUCCAUGGACAAGCUUGUGUUCCCACAAAUCUCCCGCAGACCGGGGGGAGGGUGUUCGUACAUUAUAGCGAUCAAAUAUCAAAUUUAUCUUAUUUAUUAUGUAUUGUGUAAAACUAAGACAUGAAUAACAUCACAUUAAAAGCACAACAUGAAUGCUGACCCACCAUCCACCAGUUCAAGUUCCAGCCAAGUUUUUCCAGAGAGAUUAUUACAUGGCUGUUUGACGUGUGUGGUAAAAGGCAGUGUGCUAGCAUGAAUUAACUUGAGACAAAUGAGCACAUUAGCACUCAAUAAGUCAUCAAAACUUACCUUUAUGCAUUCCCACAUAGUAUCAGCAUUUGGGACCAAAUAUGAGGUGAAAGAAAAAUGGUAAAAAUACAGUAGUAGUCUAUCUGUGCGGCAUGAGAUCAAGUUAGCACACGCACAAUGGACAUGCGUCAAGUGAGACCGAUGUAACAGAGAGAAUCCGUCAAUUUUUCAAAAUAAAACAUAAACAAAUGAAAUAAUGGAAAUUAUUUUUUCUUUGUGCGGCCCGGUACCAAAUGACCCACGGCCCGGUACUGGGCCGCGGCCCGGGGGUUGGGGACCACUGAUAUAGACGAUCUUUGGCUAAAACGUGGUCUUGGUCCAUGAAGAAGGAGCUAAACACUCACAGACCUUCACAUAGCCUGUGACCUUUGACCUAAGAAAAUCCCAUCAUCCAACAAUCAUGUUGAGAAGAAGUAGUCCUGACGCAAACAGCUGAGAGACGGACAGCAUCGUGCGGUGUCUGCUUUGGGAGGCCAACAUGGCUUUCAUACAGAAAGUGCGUGCUGAUGUUCUAAAAGCCCGAUGCAACGCCAUCCCCCUGAAUUCAAGAAGCAACAACAAGAAGCAAAGACGGGAAAGGAAACGUGAGCCUGCUGAUAUCAUGACCCCGGGUGACAAGGUUGGUCUACCCUCAGGACCUCAGGACCAGUCAGGAGUGUUGAGCAUGUGCUUUCAUUUGGGAUACGCUCCAUGGGAAAGCUGCUCCUCAGGAAACACAGUGUUUGCAUUACAGCACUAAAUGGACUCAAAUUGAUCUUUUCCCUGACAAUUGAUCACAUACGAGCCAGCAGACACGCUGGCGGCUCUGAAGGUACCAUGAAAUAAACACGCCAGCACUUUUGGGUCUUUUCUUUUGACUUUGUAGCAUAGAUCAAUAAAACACAAGCUUCUCUUUAUAAGUACUGUCACAAUAGAACACCGUUGGCAACAAAUACAUGUCUCUCGACAGUAUGUGCAUUGCCUUCCACGAGGUCCACAAAAUGUCUUUAUAAACUUCGCCAAAUGUUGGAAAUCCAUCAUUUCUUCCUCACAACACGCACCGAGGACACAGUGAAAAUCUGCAGGUCAUUUACGGAGGCCGUCAUGUAAGGUACGUUUUUUUCCUCCGUAUUGUUUAAUGAAAAUAAACAUUUCAAUUGAAAAUAGAAUAGACAAAUAUAUAUAAAAAAAGUGCACUGCCUUCCAUUGACAUCUCAUAUCAACAGUUGAACAUCAGGUUUGCGCUCAUAAAGGUUUCUCGUAGACAUGUGUUUUGGAUUAAUUUUUUAAUAAGCGCAGUUUUGCAACUCUGAUUUUUAUUUUGAAUUUUUUUUGUUGGAUGAUAAUAUUUAAACAAACCCAAACAACUGGCUACUCCAGUUAUUAUAAGCAAGAGGGGGAAAAAAGAAUUUACGCAAUAUCUUUAUUUACUCCUUAGGACU